UAAUUGGCAUUUAAUGUAGGUAUUUUAAUGUGGCGAUUGUGAAUAGUGGGGUUAGAUCCCUCUCCACAUUUGUUUAUUUCUUUUGUUUUUGUUCUCAUUAGUUACUUUAUUCAGUUUCUCUGCCUGUUUGCUUAAUCUGUUAUCUAAUUUCUUUUGGUUUUGAUAUUUUGUCUGGGCAGAGGUUAUUAUUUUUGUUAAUUGAAUUGUGUUAAUGUGACCCCACUAAUUUCUUUUGUUGUUGUUCCCUUUAGUUGCUGAGGUCCGGUGGUGGUGGAGGUGACCUGGUGGCGGGGUUCCCCCCCCCUUCUCGUGUGCUGUGCUUCCCUGGGUUCUAGGUCUCCUCACUGAGUGUGUGCUGUGUGUGACUGUCACGUGUGCCUGGGUGCUUAUAUUUUUGGUUGGGGAUUCUCCACCGACCUGUAGCCUACACACCCCGGUAAGCCUCAGCGUUAAUUUAGUUUCCCCCGUUCAUUUGUCCCUGUGUGAAUGGUAUUUUAGUGUUUUAACUUGUCUGUUAAAUAAAGAAUAUGUUUUUUUGAAUGGAAACGUGUCUUCUCGCCCCUGAGUAAAACGAACUUGUGUGCCUUAAGGGUGAACUUGAUUGAAAACUUACUUCCUGGGGCGAAAUUCCCCAGGUGGCGUUGUCGGUAACAAUAUAGUUAGUGUAUGAUUUGACCAAGACUGUCAUACUACAGCCGCUCCGUAACACCCCCUCGUCUCGCCACAAUCUGGCGUUGUCGGCAGGAUUUACUCAUUUAACGGCAGAGACACGUGUUCCUCCUUUGUUUUGCUUGGUGUUUGUAUAUAUGUAUCUUUUUCUUCUUUCCUGUGCCCUAACGAUGUUUUUCUUGUAGGCACAUUGAAGCAGUGGUGUUUACGGAGACAGAGCAGCAGUAGUUCCCCAGUCGUCCCUUGCGUAGGUUUUGUUGCUGAGGUCCGGUGGUGGUGGAGGUGACCUGGUGGCGGGGUUCCCCCCCCUUCUCGUGUGCUGUGCUUCCCUGGGUUCUAGGUCUCCUCACUGAGUGUGUGCUGUGUGUGACUGUCACGUGUGCCUGGGUGCUUAUAUUUUUGGUUGGGGAUUCUCCACCGACCUGUAGCCUACACACCCCGGUAAGCCUCAGCGUUAAUUUAGUUUCCCCCGUUCAUUUGUCCCUGUGUGAAUGGUAUUUUAGUGUUUUAACUUGUCUGUUAAAUAAAGAAUAUGUUUUUUUGAAUGGAAA